GACGACGCUGGCGGCGUGCUUAACACAUGCAAGUCGAACGGUGACGAGGAGCUUGCUCCUCUGAUCAGUGGCGAACGGGUGAGUAACACGUGAGUAACCUGCCCCUGACUCUGGAAUAACUUCGGGAAACCGAAGCUAAUACCGGAUAUGACACAGAGCCGCAUGGUUUCUGUGUGGAAAGUUUUCGGUUGGGGAUGGACUCGCGGCCUAUCAGCUUGUUGGUGAGGUAAUGGCUCACCAAGGCGACGACGGGUAGCCGGCCUGAGAGGGCGACCGGCCACACUGGGACUGAGACACGGCCCAGACUCCUACGGGAGGCAGCAGUGGGGAAUAUUGCACAAUGGGCGAAAGCCUGAUGCAGCGACGCCGCGUGAGGGAUGAAGGCCUUCGGGUUGUAAACCUCUUUCAGUAGGGAAGAAGCGCAAGUGACGGUACCUACAGAAGAAGCACCGGCUAACUACGUG
rnacentral:rRNA from 1 species